UGGGGAAUUUUGGACAAUGGGCGCAAGCCUGAUCCAGCAAUGCCGCGUGCAGGAAGAAGGCCUUCGGGUUGUAAACUGCUUUUGUCAGGGAAGAAAUCCYUUGGGUUAAUACCUCGGGGGGAUGACGGUACCUGAAGAAUAAGCACCGGCUAACUACGUGCCAGCAGCCGCGGUAAUACGUAGGGUGCGAGCGUUAAUCGGAAUUACUGGGCGUAAAGCGUGCGCAGGCGGUUUUGCAAGACAGAUGUGAAAUCCCCGGGCUCAACCUGGGAACUGCMUUUGUGACUGCAWGGCUAGAGUACGGUAGAGGGGGAUGGAAUUCCGCGUGUAGCAGUGAAAUGCGUAGAUAUGCGGAGGAACACCGAUGGCGAAGGCAAUCCCCUGGACCUGUACUGACGCUCAUGCACGAAAGCGUGGGGAGCAAACAGGAUUAGAUACCCUGGUAGUCCACGCCCUAAACGAUGUCAACUGGUUGUUGGACGGCUUGCUGUUCAGUAACGAAGCUAACGCGUGAAGUUGACCGCCUGGGGAGUACGGCCGCAAGGUUG
rnacentral:rRNA from 1 species